GGUCGGUAUUUAAUAUCUGUAAAACUGCCACUCGGACAGCCAAGGUAAACAGCGUCCCCGACAGUUCAAAGGUGAGCGCGCCCCAGCGCUUUCCCUCGGGCCGCGCAGCCAGCGCCGCAUCUGUGCACCCCGCGCCGCGUCUCCCACGCACGCUCCAGAUUUCUCAUUAAAAUCGGCGACUGUGUCAACAGCGCGGCCGGGACUCCAGAGCUGGAAAAGCCAUUUCGCCGUCCCACCCGGCCCCGUCAGGUCGCCACCUCUGCGCUGCUCCUUAGAGGGUCCCCGGAGGGCCCCCGGAGCGCGCGCGCUGUCGGGCCCGGGCCAGGCCACCCAGCGGCGGUGCGAGCCCACCCGGCCCCGGGCCCAGGAAGCGGAGGCCCGACAGUUGCCCUGCUGUUCUGCCUCUGUUGGCCACCUUCUCCUUCUGUCCUGAAGGCCCUUCUGUCCCCAACCUCCUCUGAAGGAAGCUCUGCAG